rnacentral:lncRNA from 1 species
UUUUUUUUUGGCCUGUUUUCAAGAUCUUUCACUAACUCAAAUCUGUGAAAGACAUGUUCUUUUCUGUAUGCAUAAAAGAAGUAUAUCUUCUGCAAUUUACAGCAUUUAAUUUCUGAGUGAAUGUUAAAUAUUCUAGGAAGAAGGUUAUACGCAGAGUGGACAAUUUUAAACAUUGCACAGUUUUAGCUUUUCACACAGACUUUCCUUUUCAUGCACAAAACAGACAAAAUGUGUAUGUGUCCAAAGCUUUGUUUCUGUUAGUAGUAUGAAUCUUCCUUCCAAAGGUGUUUCUGAACAGACUGGAUUGCUUGCUCUCUAAAUAAUAUAUUUAUACACAGUUCUGGAAGAAAACUGAUGUUUCUCCAUCCAGAAACAUCAUACCUCCUUAUAAUCAUUACCUGGCAAAACUGAUAUUCUGAGAUUGCCAGCUUUCCUGCCUGCAAAAAAUAGAGUAAUUUGAUCUGGCAAAUUAUGGAAAAGAGUGAUAUAGUGUUUUCAUGAAACUGCCAUACACCACAGGAGAUGAAAAUAGGCUUCCUCCAGGUCAGAAUGUUUUAGACACUCGUUAUUGUCAAGACUAUUCCCAAAAAGAUAGUUUUUGAAAAAAUAUCUUUCCACCAGAAUGAUAGAAACAUGGGUAAAAGAAUUAGAUGCUUUAGGUUGAAAUCACACAUCUGGUAGAAAGGUCUAAGAACCUACAUGUAGGGGUUUUAGUAUAUCAAGUCAGUAAUGCUGGUUAGUAAGAAAGAAAAAGACCUCUGUAAGUGCAAUACUCCUCAGUAUGUGCUCCCUGUUUGGUCUAAAAAAAAAAUACUUUAAUUAACAGAGUAAUAAGAAGAGGAUACUGCUGCAUGAGGAUGAAGCAUAGACAGACAUGCUGGAGGUCAGUUCAUUAACUCAGUCUUUUGGAAGCCAUGUCCUAUUCAAGCAUUCUCAUGCUCUCCCUUGAGAGUUUACUUCAAGUUCUCUCACAAAUGCAAUUUAUAUCCUAGUAUCUUUAUUAUGUGUUCCACUAACUACUAAGCAAGACACUCCUUGGAUGCUACAGGUGCUGUGCAUUAAGUUGCCAGAUAUAUAAUCACAGUGCAGAGAUUUUGCUUUAUUCCUUACUCCUACUGGCUUUAAUAGUGAUGGACAGAAAAUAUGCUUAGAUUUCAGUUUUGAUUGAGAAGCACUUAGAUUCUGAUCCAUUUUCAAAAGAUGAAUGUACUGACAUAAUUACCCACCAGUCUCUGAGGAAAAGAAAAUAGUUGGAUUUUUGUAUUGGGUUUGGUUUCUUUUGUCUUGAGAAGGCCUCAAUAAACUGCCGAAAACAAAAGAGAUCAAAGGAUGGUUAAAGAUGAAAAAUGAAACAAUAAUUUUAGGAAAGACUUGGAAAAGCUUUAAUUGAAGAUUGUUUAGUACCAUCAAAGUGCAAAUAAGAAAACCUGCGCUAUGACUAUACGUUUGUGAAAGGAAUAGUAAUUAAGAAAAUAAGCUAAAUGCAUCUGCAAAGAAAGAUG